AUCCAGCAAUGCCGCGUGUGUGAAGAAGGCCUUCGGGUUGUAAAGCACUUUUGUCCGGAAAGAAAACGUUCUGGUUAAUACCUGGGGCGGAUGACGGUACCGGAAGAAUAAGCACCGGCUAACUACGUGCCAGCAGCCGCGGUAAUACGUAGGGUGCGAGCGUUAAUCGGAAUUACUGGGCGUAAAGCGUGCGCAGGCGGUUUUGUAAGACAGGCGUGAAAUCCCCGGGCUUAACCUGGGAAUUGCGCUUGUGACUGCAAGGCUAGAGUGCGUCAGAGGGGGGUAGAAUUCCACGUGUAGCAGUGAAAUGCGUAGAGAUGUGGAGGAAUACCGAUGGCGAAGGCAGCCCCCUGGGACGUGACUGACGCUCAUGCACGAAAGCGUGGGGAGCAAACAGGAAUAGAUACCCUGG
rnacentral:rRNA from 1 species